GACUACAAAACUUUGUGGGCAUUAGUGGAAUUGCAUUGGCAUGGUUCAAAUCAUACUUAUCUGACCGUCAUCGAUUCGUAGCAGUGAAUAAAAAAG